rnacentral:rRNA from 1 species
UACGUAGGGUGCGAGCGUUGUCCGGAAUUAUUGGGCGUAAAGGGCUCGUAGGCGGUUUGUCGCGUCGGGAGUGAAAUCCACUGGCUUAACUGGUGGCUUGCUUUCGAUACGGGCAGACUGGAGGUAUGCAGGGGAGAACGGAAUUCCUGGUAUAGCGGUGAAAUGCGCAGAUAUCAGGAGGAACACCGGUGGCGAAGGCGGUUCUCUGGGCAUGUCCUGACGCUGAGGAGCGAAAGUGUGGGGAGCGAACAGG